rnacentral:rRNA from 1 species
GGUAGUCGUACACGGUAGCCUGUAAAAUGCAGUCGUAACAUGGUACCCGUAAUGCUGGGUGGCUUAGUGGCGAACGGGUGAGUAACACGUGAGUAACCUGCCCCUGACUCUGGGAUAAGCGUUGGAAACGACGUCUAAUACUGGAUAUGACUACUGGUCGCAUGGCCUGGUGGUGGAAAGAUUUUUUGGUUGGGGAUGGACUCGCGGCCUAUCAGCUUGUUGGUGAGGUAAUGGCUCACCAAGGCGACGACGGGUAGCCGGCCUGACAGGGUGACCGGCCACACUGGGACUGAGACACGGCCCAGACUCCUACGGGAGGCAGCAGUGGGGAAUAUUGCACAAUGGGCGAAAGCCUGAUGCACCAACGCCGCGUGAGGGAUGACGGCCUUCGGGUUGUAAACCUCUUUUAAUAGGGAAGAAGCGAAAGUGACGGUACCUGCAAAAAAGCACCGGCUAACUACGUGCCACCGCCGCGGUAAUACUAGGGUGCAAGCGUUGUCCGGAAUUAUUGGGCGUA